GUCUAGGCCAUGCCACCUUGAACAAGCCUGAUCCUGUCUAAUCUCGGAAGCUAAGCAGAGUUGGGCCUGGUUAGUACUUGAAUGAGAGACCAUCUAGGAAGACCAGGUGCUGUAGGCA
rnacentral:rRNA from 1 species